CCUACGGGUCGCACCAGUGGGGAAUAUUGCACAAUGGAGGAAACUCUGAUGCAGCAACGCCGCGUGGAGGAUGACGCAUUUCGGUGUGUAAACUCCUUUUAUAUAGGAAGAUAAUGACGGUACUAUAUGAAUAAGCACCGGCUAACUCCGUGCCAGCAGCCGCGGUAAUACGGAGGGUGCAAGCGUUACUCGGAAUCACUGGGCGUAAAGCGCGCGCAGGCGGGCUAAUAAGUUGGAUGUGAAGGUCUACGGCUCAACCGUAGAACUGCAUCCAAAACUGUUAGUCUAGAGUGUGGGAGAGGAAGAUGGAAUUAGUUGUGUAGGGGUAAAAUCCGUAGAGAUAACUAGGAAUACCAAAAGCGAAGGCAAUCUUCUGGGACAUUACUGACGCUGAGGCGCGAAAGCGUGGGUAGCAAACAGGAUUAGAUACCCUCGUAGUC
rnacentral:rRNA from 1 species